rnacentral:rRNA from 1 species
CCUACGGGGGGCAGCAGUGGGGAAUAUUGGACAAUGGGCGAAAGCCUGAUCCAGCCAUGCCGCGUGUGUGAAGAAGGCCUUCGGGUUGUAAAGCACUUUCAGUGGGGAAGAAAGCCUUGGGGCUAAUACCCUCGAGGAAGGACAUCACCCACAGAAGAAGCACCGGCUAACUCCGUGCCAGCAGCCGCGGUAAUACGGAGGGUGCGAGCGUUAAUCGGAAUUACUGGGCGUAAAGCGCGCGUAGGCGGUCUGAUAAGCCGGUUGUGAAAGCCCCGGGCUCAACCUGGGAACGGCAUCCGGAACUGUCAGGCUAGAGUGCAGGAGAGGAAGGUAGAAUUCCCGGUGUAGCGGUGAAAUGCGUAGAGAUCGGGAGGAAUACCAGUGGCGAAGGUGGUCUUCUGGACUGACACUGACGCUGAGGUGCGAAAGCGUGGGUAGCAAACAGGAUUAGAUACCCCAGUAGUC